rnacentral:rRNA from 1 species
GACAGAGGUGCCAAGCGUUAGGCGGAAUCACUGGGCUUAAAGCGUGUGUAGGCGGAUGCCUAAGUAUCUUGUGAAAUCCCACGGCUCAACCGUGGAACUGCUGGAUAUACUGCUUGUCUUGAGGCACUUAGGGGCAGCUGGAACAAAUGGUGGAGCGGUGAAAUGCGUAGAUAUCAUUUGGAACGCCAAAGGCGAAAGCAGGCUGCUGGGAGUGAUCUGACACUGAGACGCGAAAGCCAGGGGAGCAAACGGG